rnacentral:rRNA from 1 species
GAGUUUGAUCCUGGCUCAGGAUGAACGCUGGCGGCGUGCCUAAUACAUGCAAGUCGAGCGAACAGAUAAGGAGCUUGCUCCUUUGAAGUUAGCGGCGGACGGGUGAGUAACACGUGGGUAACCUACCUAUAAGACUGGGAUAACUUCGGGAAACCGGAGCUAAUACCGGAUAACAUUUAGAACCGCAUGGUUCUAAAGUGAAAGAUGGUUUUGCUAUCACUUAUAGAUGGACCCGCGCCGUAUUAGCUAGUUGGUAAGGUAACGGCUUACCAAGGCGACGAUACGUAGCCGACCUGAGAGGGUGAUCGGCCACACUGGAACUGAGACACGGUCCAGACUCCUACGGGAGGCAGCAGUAGGGAAUCUUCCGCAAUGGGCGAAAGCCUGACGGAGCAACGCCGCGUGAGUGAUGAAGGGUUUCGGCUCGUAAAACUCUGUUAUUAGGGAAGAACAAAUGUGUAAGUAACUGUGCACAUCUUGACGGUACCUAAUCA